rnacentral:rRNA from 1 species
UACAGAGGUCUCAAGCGUUGUUCGGAUUCAUUGGGCGUAAAGGGUGUGUAGGUGGCGCCGUAAGUGGGGUGUGAAAUCUCGGGGCUUAACUCCGAAACUGCAUUCCAUACUGCGGUGCUUGAGGACUGGAGAGGAGACUGGAAUUCAUGGGUGUAGCAGUGAAAUGCGGUAGAGAUCAUGAGGAAGACCAGUGGCGAAGGCGGGUCUCUGGACAGUUCCUGACACUGAGAACACGGAAGGCCAGGGGAGCAAACGGG